rnacentral:rRNA from 1 species
AACGUAGGAGACGAACGUUAUCCGGAGUUACUGGGCGUAAAGGGCGUGCAGGCGGUCUGAUAAGUUCGGCGUGAAAUAUUCCCGGCUUAACCGGGAUAGGUCGUCGGAGACUGUCGGACUAGAGGGUGAUAGAGGCGUGUGGAAUUCCGGGUGUAGUGGUGAAAUGCGUAGAGAUCCGGAGGAACACCAGUGGCGAAGGCGACACGCUGGGUCACACCUGACGCUAA